AGGGCACCACCAGGAGUGGAGCCUGCGGCUUAAUUUGACUCAACACGGGGAAACUCACCAGGUCCAGACACAAUAAGGAUUGACAGAUUGAGAGCUCUUUCUUGAUUUUGUGGGUGGUGGUGCAUGGCCGUUCUUAGUUGGUGGAGUGAUUUGUCUGCUUAAUUGCGAUAACGAACGAGACCUUAACCUACUAAAUAGUGCGACCAGCUUUGGCUGGUAUUGUCACUUCUUAGAGGGACUAUCGAUUUCAAGUCGAUGGAAGUUUGAGGCA
rnacentral:rRNA from 1 species